rnacentral:rRNA from 1 species
GAACGUGCCCUUCUCUAUGGAAUAGCCACUGGAAACGGUGAGUAAUACCAUAUACGCCCUUCGGGGGAAAGAUUUAUCGGAGAAGGAUCGGCCCGCGUUAGAUUAGGUAGUUGGUGGGGUAAUGGCCUACCAAGCCUACGAUCUAUAGCUGGUUUUAGAGGAUGAUCAGCCACACUGGGACUGAGACACGGCCCAGACUCCUACGGGAGGCAGCAGUGGGGAAUCUUAGACAAUGGGCGCAAGCCUGAUCUAGCCAUGCCGCGUGAGUGAUGAAGGCCUUACGGUCGUAAAGCUCUUUCGCCAGAGAUGAUAAUGACAGUAUCUGGUAAAGAAACCCCGGCUAACUCCGUGCCAGCAGCCGCGGUAAUACGGAGGGGGUUAGCGUUGUUCGGAAUUACUGGGCGUAAAGCGCACGUAGGCGGAUUAGAAAGUUGGGGGUGAAAUCCCGGGGCUCAACCUCGGAACGGCCUCCAAAACUCCUAGUCUAGAGUUCGAGAGAGGUGUGUGGAAUUCCAAGUGUAGAGGUGAAAUUUGUAGAUAUUUGGAGAAACACCAGUGGCGAAGGCGGCUCACUGGCUCGAUACUGACGCUGAGGUGCGAAAGUAUGGGGAGCAAACAGGAUUAGAUACCCUGGUAG